rnacentral:rRNA from 1 species
UACGUAGGGACCAAGCGUUGUCCGGAAUCAUUGGGCGUAAAGAGCGUGUAGGCGGCUUGUUAAGUCUUGCGUGAAAUCUCGGGGCUCAACCCCGAGCGGUCGUGAGAAACUGGCAGGCUAGAGUGCGGGAGAGGAGAGUGGAAUUCCUGGUGUAGCGGUGAAAUGCGCAGAUAUCAGGAGGAACACCGGUGGCGAAGGCGGGUCUCUGGGCAGUAACUGACGCUGAGGCACGAAAGCGUGGGGAUCAAACAGG